rnacentral:rRNA from 1 species
AUUGAACGCUGGCGGCAGGCCUAACACAUGCAAGUCGAACGAGUGGCGGACGGGUGAGUAAUGUCUGGGAAACUGCCCGAUGGAGGGGGAUAACUACUGGAAACGGUAGCUAAUACCGCAUACCAUCGGAUGUGCCCAGAUGGGAGUAGCUAGUAGGUGGGGUAACGGCGCACCUAGGCGACGAUCCCUAGCGGGUCUGAGAGGAUGACCAGCCACAUGGGAACGGAGACACGGUCCAUACUCCUACGGAAGGCAGAAGUGGGGAAUAUUGCAAAAGGGGCGCAAGCUGGAUGCAGCAAUGCCGCGUGUAUGAAGAAGGCCUUCGGGUUGUAAAGUACUUUCAGAGAGGAGGCGUUACUCGCAGAAGAAGCACCGGCUAACUCCGUGCCAGCCGCCGCGGUAAUAC